UACGGGGGGGGCAAGCGUUGUUCGGAAUUACUGGGCGUAAAGGGCUCGUAGGUGGCCAACUAAGUCAGACGUGAAAUCCCUCAGCUUAACUGGGGAACUGCGUCUGAUACUGGAUGGCUUGAGUUUGGGAGAGGGAUGCGGAAUUCCAGGUGUAGCGGUGAAAUGCGUAGAUAUCUGGAGGAACACCGGUGGCGAAGGCGGCAUCCUGGACCAAUACUGACGCUGAGGAGCGAAAGCCAGGGGAGCAAACGGG
rnacentral:rRNA from 1 species